UAACCCUCCUCAAAUGGAGUUCCUCUGGUUUAAAGAUGGCCGCCCACUUCCUGGUGUCUCUGGUGUCCAUGGUGGGCAGUAUCUCCUAGGUCCACUUUCCCCUAAUGACACUGGGAGCUACUCCUGUGGUCUGGGCAAGGCACAUCUACACCAAUACUGCUGGAUGUGAGAUAUGCUCCAAGGAACGUUUCUGUUAAGGUCAGCCCGAGCAACGAGGUAGUGAAAGGCAGUCGUCUGACUCUGACCUGCAGUAAUAACGCCAACCCUGCAGCAGAGACCUACACCUGGUUUCAGAGGACAGGAACGCUAACUUCACUAAGAUUAGGGAUGGGGAAAGAACACACCUUCCUCGAAAUAGAUUCUGAUGACAGUGGACUGUACUUCUGUAUGGCCCAGAAUGCCGUUGGAUCACAGAACUCUACAGAACAGGAGGUGAAAGUUAAAGACGGAAGUUGAAUACGGCCGAGAAGAAGCUUCCAACCAAACCAGUCACCCAGUUACAGAAAGCAACCUUGUCUAGACCAGAGGACAUCUAUGAAAACAUGAAAUGGUCAGCCAAGCCGAUCACUGAUCCUGAUGACAUGAACUAUGCAGAGCUCAAUAUCAGGCCUGCUCCUUCACCCAGCAUGCAGCGGAAUAACAAGGCAGGGGAUGACGAUGCAGUUAUCUACAGACAACUGCAAACACACUGAGGUGGUCAGAGAACUUUGAUAUCUAGACCUCAAGGCCUACAGUAUGGUAAACUCAAGAAAAGUGAAUGAA